GCCGCGGUAGUAUAGCCCGGUCAAGCUCUACGCGCCGUAAGUAUGCAGGCCUCUCAAGCCUGUGGCCCGGGUUCAAAUCCCGGCCGCGGCA
rnacentral:tRNA from 1 species